rnacentral:rRNA from 1 species
CCUACGGGUGGCAGCAGUGGGGAAUAUUGCACAAUGGGGGGAACCCUGAUGCAGCGACGCCGCGUGGGUGAGGAAGUACUUCGGUAUGUAAAGCCCUAUCAGCAGGGAAGAAAAUGACGGUACCUGACUAAGAAGCCCCGGCUAACUACGUGCCAGCAGCCGCGGUAAUACGGAGGAUGCGAGCGUUAUCCGGAUUUAUUGGGUUUAAGGGGUGCGUAGGCGGGCUGUUAAGUCAGCGGUCAAAUGUCGGGGCUCAACCCCGGCCUGCCGUUGAAACUGGCGGCCUCGAGUGGGCGAGAAGUAUGCGGAAUGCGUGGUGUAGCGGUGAAAUGCAUAGAUAUCACGCAGAACUCCGAUUGCGAAGGCAGCAUACCGGCGCCCGACUGACGCUGAGGCACGAAAGCGUGGGUAUCGAACAGGAUUAGAUACCCGUGUAGUC